rnacentral:lncRNA from 1 species
GCACCCAGCCACGUGUCCUGCCCCUGGUGCGCAGGUGGACUGGAAAAGAGGAAGGCAAACGCAGUGGCUAGGCGGAGACCUCCCAAAUCCCACGUCUCCCCGAGAAUCCCCGACGGGCUACAGACCUAGGGCAGCCAUAAGAAAAAACGUCAGCUACAUCUCGAGGGAGUGGGGUGGAGUGCGGGCGCUUGCUCUAGUCGAGCCCUGACAUCGAUUCUGCGGGGGCGGGGAGGAGUCGGCGCGGGGCUGGGGCUGGGAGGGGAGUUUAUUUAUUAGCCAGAUUAGCCAGCAUUAAUGGGGGAGCGGUGGCGGCCGGCGGCAGCAGGGACAUAGCUGGCAUAGCUGGCAUAGCGGCGGGGCCUCCUGCGGCGCGGGGCUCCGCGGCUUCAAAGGGGCUUAAAGAGGCCCUUGGUGGCACUGCCACGGCCCCGCGGGGGAGGGCGUGGGCGCGGGCGGCGGGGGAGAAGGCGGCCAUUGUGCACCGAGGGAUUAGGGCUCUGGCCUGGAAGGAAUUUUAAACUGCCGCGAGCCGGAGCCCCAGGACUCUCCUCCUGCCCCACCCCUGCCCUCCGGAGCACGCUGAGAAACACUCUGUCUUCCUGCUUUGAGGACAGCUGAAGUCUUGCCACUUCUUCUGGAUGCUCUGACCAUCAGUAAGCCACCUCAGUCUCACCCUCCGCAGAAUGCAGGCCCACUCCGUUGCUGAAGGGCCUCCUCCUUGGGCCAGGGCGCCUGCUUCUGCCAGUGGCAUCAUCACCCCACUCCUCAGCCGCCAGUCAUCAGAGACACGGUCUGACUUUGUUACCCCGGCUGGAGUGCAGUGGUGCAAUCAUGGCUCACUGCAGCCUUAACCUCCUGGGCUCAAGUGAUCCUCUCGCCAAGGCUAGGAUAAGUAGCUAGGACUACAGAUGCGCCCCAUCACGCCCAGCUAAUUUUACAACUUCUGUAGAGAUGGAGUGUUGCUGGGUUGCCCAGGCUGGUCUUGAAUUCCUGGGCUCAAGCGAUCCUCCUGUGUCCGGAAUUGGUGGGUUCUUGGUCUCACUGACUUCAAGAAUGAAGCCGCGGACCCUCGCGAGUCUGUAUCCACCAGCUACUCUUCCAGAUUCAUGAGGCAAGGCCUGCCUGCUCACCUGGCUGGCCCCAAGCACCUCUUCAACCUGUUGCCACCGUCCUGCCUUGCUGCCCUUCUCAGCUCAUCCAGCAGGGUCUCCAAGUCGUGGAAACAGAAGCACAUAUACACACAUGCUCAUAUGUACAUGCCCACAGUCACAUAAGCACACCGAGAAACACCAUCGCAGACAUGUUCUCACAAGCACAUGUGCAUAACACUCACUACCCCUCACGCGUAUACACAUUAAUACACACACUCAUGCACACUCAGUCUUACACACACAGACACACAGCCAUAAUCACUGUUGUUGGUUGAAUUGUGCCCCCCCAUCCCCACCAAAAAGAUAAGUUGGAGUCCUAACCCCCAGUACCUGGGGAUGUGACCGUAGUUGGAAAUAGGGUGUUUGUAGAUGUAAUCAAAUUAAGAUGAGAUCUUACUGGAUUAGAGUGGGCCUUAAAUCCAGUGACUGGUGUCCUUAUAAGGAGAAAAAGAUUUGAAAACAGAGACAUGGAGACACAGAGCAGAAGGCCAUGUGAUGAUGGAGUCAGAGAUUGGAGUGAUGCAGCUAUGAGCCGAGAAAUACCAAGGUGCUGGCAGCCCCCAGAAGCAAGGAGAGAGGCAAGGAACAAUCUCCAUCAGAGCCUCUGGAAGAAACAGACUCUGCCAACACCUUGAUUUCAGACUUUUGGCCUCCUUCACUGUGCGAGAAUACGUUUCUGUUGUUUUAAACUACUGAGUCACCAAGUCUGUGGUACUGUGUUAUGGCAGCCCCGGCAACAAAUCCAAUCACACACACACACACACACACACACACACACACACACACACACACACACACAGCUGGCUCCAGGCUCAGUGAUGAGCUCAGAGGAGUUCCCCUUGGGAGCUGCUCUUUCUCUGUCUUCCUUCCUUAGUGAUUGGUCCAGUGGAUCCACAAAAGCUCAUGGCCCAGAGCAGGAGCCCAGUCAUUUUUAAUUCCUCUUCCCUGGAGUUCUUAACCAUGCGUUGCCCUCAAAAUCUGCUCUCAAGAUUUGGGUUGCCAUAUUUAGGAGCACCAGAAAACAUACAGGAAUGCUGUGUCUGCUUGCAUCAUAUUAAUUAAAAACUGGAAAUAACCUAAAUGUCCCAGAAUAGGUACAUAAACUGUGGCAUAUCCACUUAAUGGAAUACUACUCAGCAAUACAAAAGGAAAACCUAGUGUUACUUGAGCAACAUGGAUGAACUUCACAGACAUAAUAUUGCACAGCACGAGGCAGACACAAAAGUGUGCAUAUGCUAUGAUUCCAUUUACAUGAGAUUCAAGAACAGGCAAAGCAGAUCUAUGGGGAUAGAAGUCAGAAUAGUGGUUACCUCUGGAAGGUGGAAUUGACUGGGAGGGGCUUCAGGGAACCUCCUGGGGUGCUGAAAACAUUCUGUGCUUGCACCGGGUGGUGGUUAUGUGGGCAUUACAUAAAAUUCACCAAGCUGCACCCUUAAUGAUUUGUACAAUUUGAUGCACAAAUCUAACAUCUCAAGAAGAAUAAAUUUUACAAAGUACCUAAGAAGCAAAUGACCAGAA